AGGGAAGAGCUCAGUUUUGGAAUCUGGCAGUCAUUCGCUGUCCGAGUUGUAAAUUGAAGAGAAUGUCAUCCACGCUGGACCAUGUCUAAAUUGUAAUGAUCCACAGUCCUUUGAUGGAGUAUCAGAGAGGGUAAUAAUCCCGUCUUUAACAUGGACUACCAGUGUUUCUGUGAUGCACUCUCUCA
rnacentral:rRNA from 1 species